rnacentral:rRNA from 1 species
AGAGUUUGAUCAUGGCUCAGAACGUACGCUGGCGGCACGCCUAACACAUGCAAGUCGAACGAAGUAGCAAUACUUAGUGGCAGACGGGUGAGUAACAUGUAGGUAUCUGCCCUUUGGCCUGGAAUAACACGAGGAAACUUGUGCUAAUACCGGAUAAGUCUUUACGGAGAAAGCUUUAUGCACCAUUGGAUGAGCCUGCACUUGAUUAGUUUGUUGGUAGGGUAAUGGCCUACCAAGACUAUGAUCAAUAGCUGAUUUGAGAGGAUGAUCAGCCACAUUGGGACUGAGACACGGCCCAAACUCCUACGGGAGGCAGCAGUGGGGAAUCUUGCACAAUGGAGGAAACUCUGAUGCAGCGAUGCCGCGUGAGUGAAGAAGGCCCUUGGGUUGUAAAGCUCUUUCGUCGGGGAAGAAAAUGACUGUACCCGAAUAAGAAGGUCCGGCUAACUUCGUGCCAGCAGCCGCGGUAAUACGAAGGGACCUAGCGUAGUUCGGAAUUACUGGGCUUAAAGAGUUCGUAGGUGGUUGAAAAAGUUGGUGGUGAAAUCCCAGAGCUUAACUCUGGAACUGCCAUCAAAACUUUUCAGCUAGAGUUUGAUAGAGGAAAGCAGAAUUUCUAGUGUAGAGGUGAAAUUCGUAGAUAUUAGAAAGAAUACCAAUUGCGAAGGCAGCUUUCUGGAUCAUUACUGACACUGAGGAACGAAAGCAUGGGUAGCGAAGAGGAUUAGAUACCCUCGUAGUCCAUGCCGUAAACGAUGUGUGUUAGACGUUGGAAAUUUAUUUUCAGUGUCGCAGCAAAAGCGAUAAACACACCGCCUGGGGAGUACGACCGCAAGGUUAAAACUCAAAUGAAUUGACGGGGACCCGCACAAGUAGUGGAGCAUGUGGUUUAAUUCGAAGAUACGCGCAGAACCUUACCAACACUUGACAUGUUCGUCGCGACUCUAAGAGAUUAGAGUUUUCGGUUCGGCCGGACGAAACACAGGUGCUGCAUGGCUGUCGUCAGCUCGUGUCGUGAGAUGUUGGGUUAAGUCCCGCAACGAGCGCAACCCUCACUUUUAGUUGCCAUCAUUAAGUUGGGCACUCUGAAAGAACUGCCAGUGAUAAGCUGGAGGAAGGUGGGGAUGACGUCAAGUCCUCAUGGCCCUUACGUGUUGGGCUACACACGUGCUACAAUGGUAUCUACAACAGGAAGCAAGACGGCGACGUCAAGCAAAUCCUUAAAAGAUACCUCAGUUCGGAUUGCACUCUGCAACUCGAGUGCAUGAAGCUGGAAUUACUAGUAAUCGUGGAUCAGCGUGCCACGGUGAAUGCGUUCCCGGGUCUUGUACACACCGCCCGUCACACCAUGGGAGUUGGUUCUACCUUAAGGCAAGGUUUUAAACCCUUGACCACGGUAUAGUCAGCGACUGGGGUGAAGUCGUAACAAGGUAGCCGUAGGGGAACCUGCGGCUG